GCUGAGAGUAUCAAGAUGUGGAUGAGAGGUGAGGUGACUGGGACACUACUUUGGAGUGGGCUGGUAAGGUCGUGGCAUUAUCUGCAAGUGAUAUGAGAUUGAGGAGGGAAUCCAUCACAUCAUGUAGGAGUCAUUGUUUCUCUAAGGCCACUGACUUACCUUCCAAGAAUGAUAGCAUUACAUCACUGAGUAACUGUGAGGAUUAAAUAGGAACAGUAAUAGGUUAUGGAGGCGGUUCCUUGCCAAUAAAUGCAGGUAAAAAUUGC
rnacentral:lncRNA from 1 species